CUACGGGGUGCAGCAGUGAGGAAUAUUGCACAAUGGGGGGAACCCUGAUGCAGCAACGCCGCGUGGAGGAUGACGCAUUUCGGUGUGUAAACUCCUUUUAUAUGUCAAGAAAAUGACGGUAGCAUAUGAAUAAGCACCGGCUAACUCCGUGCCAGCAGCAGCGGUAAUACGGAGGGUGCAAGCGUUACUCGGAAUCACUGGGCGUAAAGGACGCGUAGGCGGGUUGGAAAGUCAGGUGUGAAAUCCUACAGCUUAACUGUAGGACUGCACUUGAAACUUCUAAUCUAGAGUAUGGGAGGGGGAGAUGGAAUUAGUGGUGUAGGGGUAAAAUCCGUAGAUAUCACUAGGAAUACCUAAAGCGAAGGCGAUCUCCUGGAACAUUACUGACGCUAAGGCGUGAAAGCGUGGGGAGCAAACAGGAUUAGAUACCCUUGUAGUC
rnacentral:rRNA from 1 species